CCUACGGGAGGCAGCAGUGAGGAAUAUUGGUCAAUGGGCGCGAGACUGAACCAGCCAAGUAGCGUGAGGGAGGAAUGCCCAGAGGAUUGUAAACUUCUUUUAUAAGGGAAUAAAGUCAGGCACGUGUGCCUUGUUGUGUGUACUUUAUGAAUAAGGAUCGGCUAACUCCGUGCCAGCAGCCGCGGUAAUACGGAGGAUGCGAGCGUUAUCCGGAUUUCUUGGGUUUAAAGGGUGCGUAGAUGGUUUGUUAAGUCAGUUGUGAAAGGUUGGGGCUCAACCGUAAAAUUGCAAUUGAAACUGGCAGUCUUGAGUACAGUUGAGGUAGGCGGAAUGCGCGGUGUAGCGGUGAAAUGCUUAGAUAUCACGCAGAACUCCGAUUGCGAAGGCAGCUUACCA
rnacentral:rRNA from 1 species